CUACUGGGGUAUCUAAUCCUGUUCGCUACCCACACUUUCGCACAUGAGCGUCAGUCUUUGGCCAGGGAGCCGCCUUCGCCACUGAUGUUCCUCCAGAUAUCUACGCAUUUCACCGCUACACCUGGAAUUCCACUCCCCUCUCCAAGACUCUAGUCUGCCAGUUCUAAAUGACCAUCCCAGGUUGAGCCCGGGGCUUUCACAUCUAGCUUAACAAACCGCCUGCGUGCGCUUUACGCCCAGUAAUUCCGAUUAACGCUUGCACCCUCCGUAUUACCGCGGCUGCUGGCAC
rnacentral:rRNA from 1 species